UACGUAGGGACCAAGCGUUGUUCGGAUUUACUGGGCGUAAAGGGCGCGUAGGCGGCGCGGUAAGUCACUUGUGAAAUCUCUGAGCUUAACUCAGAACGGCCAAGUGAUACUGCAGUGCUAGAGUGUGGAAGGGGCAAUCGGAAUUCUUGGUGUAGCGGUGAAAUGCGUAGAUAUCGGAAGGAACAUCAGUGGCGAAAGCGACUUCCUGGACCAAUACUGACGCUCAUGUGCGAAAGCGUGGGGAGCAAACAGG
rnacentral:rRNA from 1 species